rnacentral:tRNA from 1 species
GGGAUUGUGGCUCAGUGGUAGAGCACUUGCCUAGGAUGUGUGAGGCACUGGGUUCAAUUCUCAGCACCU